GAUGAACGCUAGCUACAGGCUUAACACAUGCAAGUCGCGGGGCAGCAUGGGGGUUGCUUGCAAUCCCCGAUGGCGACCGGCGCACGGGUGAGUAACGCGUAUCCAACCUGCCCUUCACCACGGGAUAACCCGGCGAAAGUCGGACUAAUACCGUAUGUUGUCCAUUGACGGCAUCCGAUUUGGACGAAAGGCUUGGCGGUGAGGGAUGGGGAUGCGUCCGAUUAGCCAGACGGCGGGGUAACGGCCCACCGUGGCUACGAUCGGUAGGGGUUCUGAGAGGAAGGUCCCCCACACUGGAACUGAGACACGGUCCAGACUCCUACGGGAGGCAGCAGUGAGGAAUAUUGGUCAAUGGGCGUAAGCCUGAACCAGCCAAGUAGCGUGCAGGAUGACGGCCCUAUGGGUUGUAAACUGCUUUUAUGCGGGGAUAAAGUGGCCCACGGGUGGGCUUUUGCAGGUACCGCAUGAAUAAGGACCGGCUAAUUCCGUG
rnacentral:rRNA from 1 species